rnacentral:rRNA from 1 species
AUACGGAGGGUGCAAGCGUUACGCGGAAUCACUGGGCGUAAAGCGCGCGCAGGCGGGCUGAUAAGUUGGAUGUGAAAGCCUACGGCUCAACCGUAGAACUGCAUCCAAAACUGUCAGUCUAGAGUCUGGGAGGGGAAGAUGGAAUUAGUUGUGUAGGGGUAAAAUCCGUAGAGAUAACUAGGAAUACCAAAAGCGAAGGCGAUCUUCUGGAACAGUACUGACGCUGAGGCGCGAAAGCGUGGGGAGCAAACAGGAUUAGAAACCCUAGUAGUCC